CCCUUAGAUGUUCUGGGCUGCACGCGCGCUACACUGACGCACGCAACAGGUGCCUGCUCCGAGAGGACUGGGUAAUCAUUUGAGUGUGCGUCGUGAUGGGGAUAGAAUAUUGUAAUUAUUACUCUUCAACGAGGAAUUCCUAGUAAGCGCCAGUCAGCAGCUUGCGCUGAUUACGUCCCUGCCCUUUGUACACACCGCCCGUCGCUCCUACUGAUGGGUGAUCCGGUGAAUGAUUCGGACUUCAGCGGCUCCCCUGGGGUGCGCCGGAGAAAGUUUUGUGAACCUUAUCACUUGGAGGAAGGAGAAGUCGUAACA
rnacentral:rRNA from 1 species